ensembl:miRNA
GUCGUGGAAAGCAGGGUGGCAAAGUAGGGGUGCACAUUCUGCUUUGGCGGCUGGGGUUCCACCAAUUUGGAUCCUGGAUGUGGACGUAGGCACCGCUUGUCAAGCCAUGCUGCGGCAGGCAUCCCACAU